UACGUAGGGUGCAAGCGUUAAUCGGAAUUACUGGGCGUAAAGCGUGCGCAGGCGGUUUUGUAAGUCUGUCGUGAAAGCCCCGGGCUCAACCUGGGAAUUGCGAUGGAGACUGCAAGGCUUGAAUCUGGCAGAGGGGGGUAGAAUUCCACGUGUAGCAGUGAAAUGCGUAGAUAUCUGGAGGAACACCGGUGGCGAAGGCGGCAUCCUGGACCGACACUGACGCUGAGGAGCGAAAGCCAGGGGAGCAAACGGG
rnacentral:rRNA from 1 species